rnacentral:rRNA from 1 species
GAUGAACGCUGGCGGCGUGCCUAAUACAUGCCAGUCGAGCGAACGGACAAGAAGCUUGCUUCUCUGAUGUUAGCGGCGGACGGGUGAGUAACACGUGGAUAACCUACCUAUAAGACUGGGAUAACUUCGGGAAACCGGAGCUAAUACCGGAUGAUAUUUUGAACCGCAUGGUUCAAAAGUGAAAGACGGUCUUGCUGUCACUUAUAGAUGGAUCCGCGCUGCAUUAGCUAGUUGGUAAGGUAAUGGCUUACCAAGGCAACGAUGCAUAGCCGACCUGAGAGGGUGAUCGGCCACACUGGAACUGAGACACGGUCCAGACUCCUACGGGAGGCAGCAGUAGGGAAUCUUCCGCAAUGGGCGAAAGCCUGACGGAGCAACGCCGCGUGAGUGAUGAAGGUCUUCGGAUCGUAAAACUCUGUUAUUAGGGAAGAACAUAUGUGUAAGUAACUGUGCACAUCUUGACGGUACCUAAUCAGAAAGCCACGGCUAACUACGUG